rnacentral:rRNA from 1 species
CUACGGGCUGCUCCAGUAAGGAAUAUUGCGCAAUGGGGGCAACUCUGACGCAGCCAUGCCGCGUGCAGGAAGAAGGCCUUAUGGGUCGUAAACUGCUUUUAUUUAGGAAUAAACCCCCGAACGUGUUCGGGGCUGAAGGUACUAAACGAAUAAGCACCGGCUAACUCCGUGCCAGCAGCCGCGGUAAUACGGAGGGUGCAAGCGUUAUCCGGAUUUAUUGGGUUUAAAGGGUGCGCAGGCGGGCUAUUAAGUCAGUGGUGAAAUCCCGGGGCUCAACUCCGGAACUGCCAUUGAUACUGAUAGUCUUGAGUUUGGUUGAAGUGGGCGGAAUGUAGCAUGUAGCGGUGAAAUGCAUAGAUAUGCUACAGAACACCAAUCGCGAAGGCAGCUCACUAAGCCAAAACUGACGCUCAUGCACGAAAGCGUGGGGAUCAAACAGGAUUAGAUACCCGUGUAGUC